rnacentral:rRNA from 1 species
GACGAACGCUGGCGGCGUGCUUAACACAUGCAAGUCGAACGGAAAGGCCAUGCUCUUGCGGGGUGCUCGAGUGGCGAACGGGUGGGUAACACGUGAGUAACCUGCCCUUGUCUUUGGGAUAACUUCUGGAAACUGGGGCUAAUAUCGCAUAGGAGCUCCUGCUGCAUGGUGGGGGUUGGAAAGUUUCGGCGGUUGGGGAUGGACUCGCGGCUUAUCAGCUUGUUGGUGGGGUAGUGGCUUACAAAGGCUUUGACGGGUAGCCGGCCUGAGAGGGUGACCGGCCACAUUGUGACUGAGAUACGGCCCAGACUCCUACGGGAGGCAGCAGUGGGGAAUAUUGCACAGUGGGCGGAAGCCUGAUGCAGCAACGCCGCGUGCGGGAUGACGGCCUUCGAGUUGUAAACCGCUUUCGCCUGUGACGAAGCGUGAGUGACGGUAAUGGGUAAAGAAGCACCGGCUAACUACGUG